rnacentral:lncRNA from 1 species
ACGGGCGGCGGCGGCGGCUGCGGCGUCGGCCAGAGAGAGAGAGAGCAAGAGGAAGAGAGCGAGAGAGAGAGAGAUCGAUCGAGAGAGAGAGAGAGAUCGAGACAGAGUUCGGGGGGGGGCUUGUAAUCAAAGAGAACACGGUGAACCAUUCACCGUGUCUGAACACGGCGAAUAGUUCACCGUGUCUAGACACGGUGAAUAGUUCACCGUGUCCAAUAGUAGUUUGUGCAGUAGAACUAAUUACCGUUUCUAGACACGGUGAUUAGUUCGCCGUGUUCAGACACGGUGAUUAGUUCACCGUGUUCAAUGAAAUACUAACCACGCGAUUCAUAUUGAACACGGUGAUUGGUUCACCGUGUUUAGACACGGUGAACCAAUCACCGUGUUCAACUUGAAUACCUGGCCAGUCCCUGCCCGCGUGGCGCUGACGUGGCGCUGGCGUGGCAGAGGCAGGGCCAUUUUUGCAAAUAAAUUUUAGAGAGGGCUAUUUUUGCAAAUAAAAUUUGUUUAGGGGCUAUUUGCAAAAAA